UACGUACUGUGCGAACGUUUAUUCGGAAAUCACUGGGCUUAAAGGGUGCGUAGGCGGCCCGCUAAGUAGGGUGUGAAAUGCCAGAGCUCAACUUUGGCAUUGCGCUCUAGACUGACGGGCUUGAGUGAGAUAGGGGUGUGCGGAACUUCCAGUGGAGCGGUGAAAUGUGUUGAUAUUGGAAGGAACGCCGGUGGCGAAAGCGGCACACUGGGUCUUAACUGACGCUGAGGCACGAAAGCCAGGGUAGCGAACGGG
rnacentral:rRNA from 1 species